rnacentral:rRNA from 1 species
AGUGAACGCUGGCGGUAGGCCUAACACAUGCAAGUCGAACGGCAGCACCGUAAGAGCUUGCUCUUACGGGUGGCGAGUGGCGGACGGGUGAGGAAUACAUCGGAAUCUACUUUUUCGUGGGGGCUAACGUAGGGAAACUUACGCUAAUACAGCAUACGACCUACGGGUGAAAGCAGGGGAUCUUCGGACCUUGCGCGAUUGAAUGAGCCGAUGUCGGAUUAGCUAGUUGGCGGGGUAAAGGCCCACCAAGGCGACGAUCCGUAGCUGGUCUGAGAGGAUGAUCAGCCACACUGGAAGUGAGACACGGUCCAGACUCCUACGGUAGGCAGCAGUGGGGAAUAUUGGAGAAGGGGCGAAAGCCUGAUCCAGCCAUACCGCGUGGGUGAAGAAGGCGUUCGGGUUGGAAAGCCCUUUUGUUGGGAAAGAAAAGCAGCAGGUUAAUACCCCGCUGUUCUGACGGUACCCAAAGAAUAAGCACCGGCUAACUUCGUG